CCCUAGACACCCAGGAACAUUUGGCGUUGCUUGACAACAGUUUGAGGCAGGAUAAAGAGCUCCAGCAACGAUUUCUUCGGUUUUUGGCAAUCAAAUGUGGGAGGGACCUAAAGACAACCGUGUGGCGAAUGCUUCAGAGUAUCUUCUCUAAUCACCUUUCCAUCAAUACAACCUGGACUGGUGUAGGGGAUAAAGCAUGUUUUAGAGACAUGUUCCUGAAGACCAUUGUUCAAAGAGCCAUCCGGAAGAACCCGGCAACACAGGAUGCCACUGAUGAGGCGAUCCAGGUUAGCGUUACGCGUUACCUGAAAGGAGCAUCUGAACAUGAAGGUGGAAAAAGGCGCCGCACAGCUGAGAGGGACCCACAGCCGACCCCUUAAACCUAGGCUGACUACUGACACCCCAGCAUCACUGACAACUGGAACCCUUUCUUUAUCCUGCAGUCAGUAACAUCAAGACCCCUAAAGAAGCCUGCUAAAAGUGUCAGACUACACUCACCCAAUCCACACUGUUCACUGUGGAAAUUGCUUUUUUUUUCUUUUUUUUUUUUUUUUCUCGUGACCCUGCUUUGAGGGCAGCUCCUUGGAUGAAUAUGGGAUGGUUUGUCCUUUUAUACAGGCGCACGAGGAAUCACUGAAGAUAUGCCAAUUUGCACUGCCUCAUUCUGGGGGUCGGGAAAACCGGUGAUUCUUAGCCCAGAAGUCCCCAACCUCUCCAGACAUUCUGAUUGGCUGUGUUCUCUACAGCCAGAUUUUCUGCUGUUAAUUAUAUUUAUUCCCACUUGUUGUCAUGUGUAAGUUGAAUGUCAAAAUGUAUAUUAUACCUGCACAUUCCUUGAUACCAAAGAUCUCAAUUAUUUCAUAUACAAUUUGCUGCUUAUUUCAUUGUUACAGUGCUUAACUAUUCUAUUUUUAAAUAUAGCUUGUAAAUCCUAGAUUAUACAUCUAAUACUUGAUAUUUGCACAUUAUCUGGUAUCAAAUAUUCUACUUACCGUGACUUUAGUAUUGGCUUAUUUCAUUCCGUCAGUGCUUAACAAUUCUAUUAUAGUUUGUAAAUCCUAUUUCAUACCUCUGAUACUUGAUAUUGCACAUUAACUAGUACCAAAAAUUCUACUUUCAUUCCAUCACAGUGUUUAACUGUUAUUCUAUUGUUACAUAUAGCUUGUAAAUCCUUGUGCCACAAGUCAGCAUUGCAGUUAUAAUGGUAUAUUCUACUCCAGAGCUUUACUCUAAAUUAUUACCACUUAACCUAUUGUUAGAAAUGACUUGUAAAUAUGAUGUUAUACCUCAAUUUAUUUGGUAUCCUGCACUUUCUUUGGUACCAAAUAUCCUCAUUGCUUGUGUUUACUGGUAAU